rnacentral:rRNA from 1 species
UACGGAGGAUGCGAGCGUUAUCCGGAUUUAUUGGGUUUAAAGGGUGCGUAGGCGGAGUGCCAAGUCAGCGGUAAAAAUUCGGGGCUCAACCCCGUCGUGCCGUUGAAACUGGCGCCCUUGAGUGGGCGAGAAGUAUGCGGAAUGCGUGGUGUAGCGGUGAAAUGCAUAGAUAUCACGCAGAACCCCGAUUGCGAAGGCAGCAUACCGGCGCCCGACUGACGCUGAAGCGCGAGAGCGUGGGUAUCGAACAGG